rnacentral:rRNA from 1 species
CCUACGGGGGGCUGCAGUAAGGAAUAUUGGUCAAUGGACGAAAGUCUGAACCAGCCAUCCCGCGUGCAGGAUGAAAGCCCUAUGGGUUGUAAACUGCUUUUAGCAGAGAAGAAAAGCUUUCAUUAAUGAGAGUCUGACGGUAUCUGCAGAAUAAGCACCGGCUAACUCCGUGCCAGCAGCCGCGGUAAUACGGAGGGUGCGAGCGUACUCCGGAUUAACUGGGUGUAGGGGGUGUGUUGGCGGAGUGGUAACAUCUUGUCGCUUAACGAUACACUUGCCUAUGAUACUGGUACUCUUGAAUUGGGUUGAGGUUAGCGGAAUGUGACAUGUAGCGGUGAAAUGCAUAGAUAUGUCAUGGAACACCAAUUGCGAAGGCAGCUAACUGGGCCUUGAUUGACGCUGAGGCACGAAAGCGUGGGUAGCGAACAGGAUUAGAUACCCUUGUAGUC